UACGAAGGGUGCAAGCGUUACUCGGAAUUACUGGGCGUAAAGCGUGCGUAGGCGGUUUGUUAAGUCUGUUGUGAAAGCCCCGGGCUCAACCUGGGAAUGGCAAUGGAAACUGGCGAGCUAGAGUACGGUAGAGGAGAGUGGAAUUCCCGGUGUAGCGGUGGAAUGCGUAGAGAUCGGGAAGAACAUCAGUGGCGAAGGCGGCCUGCUGGGCUGUUGCUGACGCUGAGGAGCGAAAGCGUGGGGAGCGAACAGG
rnacentral:rRNA from 1 species